AUCGCUCUGUCUUGUUUCAGUUACCAGCAUAGUCUUGCCUGGGAAGAAAAUGUAAAUCAUGGGCAACUUGAGAGUCGAGAAGAAAAACCUAGUCCAGGUGCGAGUUGCCUGAGGAGUUCGUCGCCGACGUCAUCGGCUGCGGAAGACGGCGAUGGCCGACACUGGCUGGACGGCGAUGGCGCAACAGCGGCUUGGCGGGACGGACGUCUCACCACAGUGUGCGUAUGAACGAUGACAUCGAAGAAAGGCAUCAAGAUCAACUGGGAUGGAACUGGCCACAAAUUAAGCACAAGAGGAUAGUCUGCACGUUGGCGGAAAGCUCGUCGGCGCGGGCGUCGUCCGCUGCACAUGGCGGCGAUGGUGCAGGACAGGGUGGGCGGCUACAACGUACGUCCGGGUGGGAAAAGGCAGGAAGAUAGAGCUGACUCUAGUCAUUUGUUGUGAGGCGGUCCUGUUACUUGCCGUUAAUUGUGGCUAAUUUUGUGUAGUUGAUUGCCUUUGACCAAUUUUUCCUUUUUGCGGGGUGGUGGAAUUGUUGGAUCGAAACACCUUACUUUUAUGUGGACGGUUAGGGCAACUCCAAUGGCCGAUUCAAUCGGAGGACGAUUUUUUUGUUUUUA